rnacentral:rRNA from 1 species
UACGGAGGGUGCAAGCGUUAUCCGGAUUCACUGGGUUUAAAGGGUGCGUAGGUGGGUCUGUAAGUCAGUGGUGAAAUCUCCGAGCUUAACUCGGAAACUGCCAUUGAUACUAUAGGUCUUGAAUUAUCUGGAGGUGAGCGGAAUAUGUCAUGUAGCGGUGAAAUGCUUAGAUAUGACAUAGAACACCAAUUGCGAAGGCAGCUCACUACGGAUAUAUUGACACUGAGGCACGAAAAGCGUGGGGGAUCAA